rnacentral:rRNA from 1 species
UGCGCGCACGUUCUCUGGUUUGUCAUCUCUCGUUUCUCGUCUGUACGGUUCGGUGUGGUUGGGGCCACGGUGACGGUAGCGGUGGCAAAUCGAUUCGAUUCGAUUGCAGUACCGAAGCAUCCUCGACGUUCGACAACGGCGGCAGUACCGGCUGCUGCCACGGCGUGUGCCGAAGCUCAAGGUGCUCCGGUGGCACCUGUGGUAGGUCGAGCCGAAGUCGUUGCCCUGAGACUGGAGCUGCCGCGAGCAGGUCAAGAUGGACCUGGUCUAGCUGGCGGAGUUGGGCGACGACGUGCGGCAGUAGCUCCAGUUGGGUCUGCGCGAGGGGGUCCGGUUCGUACGGCUGCGGCUCGCGGUGCCGCCGUGCCGGUGUCCGCGUGACGUGCCCCAGGGAUAGGACGAGUUCCUGUUGUAGCGGUGGGCGCUGCGCGAGUCGUGGUGCCGCCCCAGCGACCGAGAGGAGCCGAGGUACCACUUCGCACUGCGGCCACACCACCGAGCCGAGGCCGCGCGUCCGCGGCACCACGAGCCGUUCCGGUCGGACAGGCUCACCCGAUUAAAGGCGGGUCAGCUGUUGCCCACCUCGCGGGCCCCGCCAGUCCGCGCCUUGGGCAUGCAGGACAGCAGGUGGGGCACACCGAGCUCACGGCCGAGUCCGCACCGGCGCCGGCGCUUGUACCGCCGGCACUGCGACCCGUGGCUCUGGCUGCCGAGGUAUGAGACGGGCAGCAGCAAGUUGAGACACCAGCCGUAGUUCGGGUGGGAGCCAGAGUGGUCGGCGCGGCCGCAGCAGGGGUAGUGGGGCAACGUUCUGUGGCAACCGGGCUACACGGCCUGCCACAGCCUGCGCCACGUGCACGACCUGUGGUAGCAGCCUAUACUGCUCGUGCUGCGGCGUCGGUGGCCUCGCCGUAGUUUCAUGUAGGGGGUUCCGCCUAUACGCCUCAAGGACUUCUUUCUACCCGACUCCCCUUUCUCCUAGCCGCAGGGGUUACCGAAGCAGGUCUCUAUACCCGUCUUCGUCGACUUACACAUGUUCGUCGUGGAGCGGUGUUACUCCCUUGAGCCUCGUCACCACUAACUCUUCGACCUGCAGCGACGGUUAAACUCGCGAGAUAACCCACUCUAACCAAGGUUGCUCCGCUAACGCUACGUCCGUCUCAAGUUCGACUCGUAUUUGCGGAUGAACCGUCUGAACCAGGUGAGGGGCCAGGUAAGCGAACGUCUGUAGUAUCGUAAGUUGUUCCGCGUAGGACACCUCCUCUCCGACUUUCUAAAGCCCGUCGGGCUGGAUUAGCGACGGCUUUCGUGUUUACCGUAACCGGGGCGCCUCUCUCGGCGCUAGGCCGCAGACUUCCUCGACUUGCGCUUACCCGACCUCUUCUACUACUUCCUCGUGGUCGACCUGCGCUAGCACCGCGGAUUGUUGCGAUAUAGAUCGGAAGAACGGUAGCCACCGGUGGGACCGUAGCAACACGGCCGACCAAUGCUGCUCUUCCCCCAGGGGAAGCCCUAUACAAAGCCACCCGACGUCCCCAUGCUCGGCUCCGACUAGCUCUACCGGAUACGAAAGCUCGUCCGAUGGUUUCAAUCCUCCGUUGGGUACAAGUUCUGGAUCGAUUUAUAUUGAAGAACUCAUCACUGCUACAUUGUUAGAUGCUGGGAUUUAUCCAAGGUGAAUGUAAAAAUACAGAAGAACAUUUUCUUAUUUAGACCUUCAUAAUAAAGAACCAGG